rnacentral:rRNA from 1 species
GACAGAGGGUGCAAACGUUGUUCGGAAUUACUGGGCGUAAAGCGCGUGUAGGCGGCAGGGCGUGUCGGAUGUGAAAUCCCGUGGCUCAACCACGGAAGUGCACCCGAAACUGCCCAGCUUGAGUCUCGGAGAGGAAGGCGGAAUGCUUGGUGUAGAGGUGAAAUUCGUAGAUAUCAAGCGGAACACCGGUGGCGAAGGCGGCCUUCUGGACGAUGACUGACGCUGAGACGCGAAAGCGUGGGGAGCAAACAGG